GCGGUCCGUGUAUCAACCGGAUGUGACGGCAGAAGGAACGCUGCGGUUUUUCUGGUUUCCCGCUACGGCCGAAGAAAUGGCAGUCGAGCCUUUUCCCCGUCCACGGA
rnacentral:ncRNA from 15 species